GGGGAGGGUCAUUGGAAACUGGGAAACUUGAGUGCAGAAGAGGAGAGUGGAAUUCCACGUGUAGCGGUGAAAUGCGUAGAGAUGUGGAGGAACACCAGUGGCGAAGGCGACUCUCUGGUCUGUAACUGACGCUGAGGAGCGAAAGCGUGGGGAGCGAACAGGAUUAGAUACCCUGGUAGUCCACGCCGUAAACGAUGAGUGCUAAGUGUUAGGGGGUUUCCGCCCCUUAGUGCUGCAGCUAACGCAUUAAGCACUCCGCCUGGGGAGUACGGUCGCAAGACUGAAACUCAAAGGAAUUGACGGGGGCCCGCACAAGCGGUGGAGCAUGUGGUUUAAUUUGAAGCAACGCGAAGAACCUUACCAGGUCUUGACAUCCUCUGACAACCCUAGAGAUAGGGCUUUCCCUUCGGGGACAGAGUGACAGGUGGUGCAUGGUUGUCGUCAGCUCGUGUCGUGAGAUGUUGGGUUAAGUCCCGCAACGAGCGCAACCCUUGAUCUUAGUUGCCAGCAUUUAGUUGGGCACUCUAAGGUGACUGCCGGUGACAAACCGGAGGAAGGUGGGGAUGACGUCAAAUCAUCAUGCCCCUUAUGACCUGGGCUACACACGUGCUACAAUGGACAGAACAAAGGGCUGCGAGACCGCAAGGUUUAGCCAAUCCCACAAAUCUGUUCUCAGUUCGGAUCGCAGUCUGCAACUCGACUGCGUGAAGCUGGAAUCGCUAGUAAUCGCGGAUCAGCAUGCCGCGGUGAAUACGUUCCCGGGCCUUGUACACACCGCCCGUCACACCA
rnacentral:rRNA from 1 species